rnacentral:rRNA from 1 species
AUUGAACGCUGGCGGCAGGCUUAACACAUGCAAGUCGAGCGGGGUGAUGGUGCUUGCACUAUCACUUAGCGGCGGACGGGUGAGUAAUGCUUAGGAAUCUACCUAUUAGUGGGGGACAACAUCUCGAAAGGGAUGCUAAUACCGCAUACGUCCUACGGGAGAAAGCAGGGGAUCACUUGUGACCUUGCGCUAAUAGAUGAGCCUAAGUCGGAUUAGCUAGUUGGUGGGGUAAAGGCCUACCAAGGCGACGAUCUGUAGCGGGUCUGAGAGGAUGAUCCGCCACACUGGGACUGAGACACGGCCCAGACUCCUACGGGAGGCAGCAGUGGGGAAUAUUGGACAAUGGGGGGAACCCUGAUCCAGCCAUGCCGCGUGUGUGAAGAAGGCCUUAUGGUUGUAAAGCACUUUAAGCGAGGAGGAGGCUCUUUUGGUUAAUACCCAAGAUGAGAGGACGUUACUCGCAGAAUAAGCACCGGCUAACUCUGUGCCAGCCGCCGCGGUAA